rnacentral:rRNA from 1 species
CAGAACGAACGCUGGUGGCGUGUCUUAUACAUGCAAGUCGAGCGAGGCAGCAAUGCCGAGCGGCGAACGGGUGAGUAACGCGUAAGCAAUCUGCCCCAUAUCAGGAAAUACCCGUGCCAACGCGCGGUUAAUGUCCAGGAGAGUGGCCUCCUGCAUGGGGGGUUGACUAGAGAUUUAUCGGUAUGGGAUGAGCUUGCGUCCGAUUAGCUAGUUGGCGGGGCAACGGCCCACCAAGGCGACGAUCGGUAGCCGGCCUGAGAGGGUGAUCGGCCACAUUGGGACUGAGAUACGGCCCAGACUCCUACGGGAGGCAGCAGUAGGGAAUAUUGCACAAUGGGGGAAACCCUGAUGCAGCAACGCCACGUGUGGGAAGAAGCAUUUCGGUGUGUAAACCACUGUCAUGAGGGAAUAAGGCCCGCCUACGGACGGGAUUGAAUGUACCUUGAGAGGAAGCACCGGCAAACUUCGUGCCAGCAGCAGC